rnacentral:tRNA from 1 species
UGGGAGAGGCAGGAUUCGGACCUACGUAGAAAACCUUCAACGGAUUUACAGUCUGUCGCUUUUAACCACUCGGCCACUCCCCC